rnacentral:rRNA from 1 species
UAGGGAAUCUUCGGCAAUGGGGGGAACCCUGACCGAGCAACCCCGCGUGAGUGAAGAAGGUUUUCGGAUCGUAAAGCUCUGUUGUUAAGGAAGAACGAGUGUGAGAAUGGAAAGUUCAUGCUGUGACGGUACUUAACCAGAAAGGGACGGCUAACUACGUGCCAGCAGCCGCGGUAAUACGUAGGUCCCGAGCGUUGUCCGGAUUUAUUGGGCGUAAAGCGAGCGCAGGCGGUUAGAAAAGUCUGAAGUGAAAGGCAGUGGCUCAACCAUUGUAGGCUUUGGAAACUGUUUAACUUGAGUGCAGAAGGGGAGAGUGGAAUUCCAUGUGUAGCGGUGAAAUGCGUAGAUAUAUGGAGGAACACCGGUGGCGAAAGCGGCUCUCUGGUCUGUAACUGACGCUGAGGCUCGAAAGCGUGGGGAGCGAACAGG